CGCAUUUGCUUGGAGGUUAGGAACCACAAGAGUUUUAAUUUGAAUGCAACAGUCAGUUUGUCAAAACCGAAUAAAUAUGUCGCCGGAGGAGUACGAAGAUAUAGCGGCCACUAUUCGUAGCUUUAAAGGACUAGCGAAAAAUUGUGCCAAGAUGUUGAAAGAAAAAUAUACCAAUGUCCCUGUCAACACGCUUUACAGUAUUCUGUCACAGGAAAUGGAAAGGAAAAUGAAAUUCACUUCUCACAGAUUAUUGAGUCAGAAUAAACCAUAUUUCGACAUAUAUAAAGAAGCUAAGUCGGGCGGCGAACCAGUUGGAAUCUUGCUACGAAUAGCGGAGACUAUCGAGGUUCCACCAGCACUACUAGCACGUUUUGUCCUAAAGAAGUACUGCGAAAUGAAGGACGAUGACUCGAAACUAAACAUAACGAAGCUACUAAGAGACACCACGCUUAUCGAAGAGAAGGAUCUUGCUUAUGAGAUCUAUUUGUGUGUGCUCUACGACCCACAUUACGGACCCAUAGCCGACACUCUCGGAAUUUCUAUCGGUCAGGAAUACGAAACAGCACUGAAGACCUAUGUGACUGAAAGGAAUAUUCCAUUUCGAGACGAGGAGUAUCUUAAAUCGAGAGGAUACGACAAAACACCAGACAUCAAGCUCGAAGUGCCAAUUGCUGUAAAUGGGUUCAUUGUCAAUUGGAUAGAGUCGAAAGCUCGAUUCGGUAAUGUAGACGUUCAUAAUAGAUACGUCAAGAAGCAGUUCCUGAGCUACUGGAACCGCUUCGGCCCAGGCCUCGUUAUCUAUUGGUUCGGUUUCAUAGAUACAAUUAACAGGACGAGUGAAAGUAAAUUCCUAAUAGUCGACAAUUUCCCUGAUAACAUUACGUACAUGGAGCCCGGUACCUUUGGUGCUUUAUCACUUUGAACGAAGCAACGAUACUUGUUAAUGGAGUUGUAGGUUAGGACACUUCAACGUUAAUUUUCAUAAAUUACAACCCUAAUUGGUUUCACCUUGCGUGUUUCCUGACACAGUUACGUCGAACAACUUAAUAAAUUAUUUGUUCUCGGUGAACAGGAGUUAGAAUUGCGGACAGAAUUUCCAGAGGUUGAAUUAAAAUCCAUCCAGGUUUAGUUCAUUUACAUGAGCUAUCUUACGCUACUCUUUAACCAUCGAUGCUAUAACUAAUGGGAUUAAGGUGAAGUGAAACCUGUCUAGAAAUUUAAAUGACGUCAUUAAAAAAGAUUCUUCUAAAUAC